rnacentral:lncRNA from 1 species
GAGAGAGUGAGCCGCUGUCUCUCGCCUUUGCUUCCCAAGGAGGCGUGUACCUUCUGAAUCCAGGGCACAGGCAGUGCCUCUCCGUCUGAGAAGCCAUUUAAAUCCAGAGGGAGAAAGAAAGAUGUCAAGCCCAGCGAGGGAACAAGAACCCCCAUUAUUAGCCAGGCCUACACCCACAGCUCAGCCCUUCCUGCCACAAUCACCCCUCAAGCUGGAACAACAGAAGCUACGUAAACACCACUCUUCAGAGGCUGGAGAAAGCUUCCAGAGGUGACGCAGCCAUAUGCCAGGAGGGAGCAUUGUUGGAGAUUUGGAAUCCAGCCCAGAGAGGUGAAGUGAGCUGCACAAGGUCACACAGCUGGCAAAUGCCAGACACCAGACUUCCAACCCAGAUUGGACGCCACAUCCCUAAACUCGGUACCUUCACCUGCCUCUAAAGAAAAGGACAAAAGAGAAGCCGAACCAAGCAGAGCAGAAACAAG